GGUGAUUCUCAGGUGACACACCCCAGAAUCUGGCUCCCUCCUUUUUGGUUCCAGGUGCAUCACCCAAGAAGCACA
rfam:Myotis lucifugus cont2.26486, whole genome shotgun sequence.